GUUACUAUAGCAAAGAGGAUACACCUGUUCCCAUUCCGAACACAGAAGUUAAGCUCUUUAGCGCUGAUGGUACUUGGGGGGCAACCUCCUGGGAGAGUAAGA
rnacentral:rRNA from 1 species